GGAGGAAAAGAAACCAACAGGGAUUGCCCCAGUAACGGCGAGUGAAGCGGCAACAGCUCAAAUUUGAAAUCUGGCCCCCUUGCGGGGCCCGAGUUGUAAUUUGAAGAGGAUGCUUCUGGCAAGGUGCCGUCCGAGUUCCCUGGAACGGGACGCCGCAGAGGGUGAGAGCCCCGUACGGUCGGACGCCGAGCCUCUGUGAAGCUCCUUCGACGAGUCGAGUAGUUUGGGAAUGCUGCUCAAAAUGGGAGGUAAACCCCUUCUAAAGCUAAAUACCGGCCAGAGACCGAUAGCGCACAAGUAGAGUGAUCGAAAGAUGAAAAGCACUUUGAAAAGAGAGUUAAAAAGCACGUGAAAUUGUUGAAAGGGAAGCGCUUGCGACCAGACUCGCGCCCGUCGGAUCAGCCGUCGCUUGUCGGCGGCGCACUCCGGCGGGCUCGGGCCAGCAUCAGUUUGCCCGGGGGGAGAAAGGCGGCGGGAAUGUGGCUCUUCGGAGUGUUAUAGCCCGCCGCGUAAUGCCCCAGGGCGGACUGAGGACCGCGCGUAUGCAAGGAUGCUGGCGUAAUGGUCGUCAGCGACCCGUCUUGAAACACGGACCAAGGAGUCGUCCUAAUAUGCGAGUGUACGGGUGUCAAACCCCUGCGCGUAAUGAAAGUGAACGGAGGUGAGAGCUUCGGCGCAUCAUCGACCGAUCCUGAUGUUCUCGGAUGGAUUUGAGUAAGAGCAUAUUGGGCCGGACCCGAAAGAAGGUGAACUAUGCCUGUGUAGGGUAAAGCCAGAGGAAACUCUGGUGGAGGCUCGCAGCGGUUCUGACGUGCAAAUCGAUCGUCAAACAUGGGCAUGGGGGCGAAAGACUAAUCGAACCUUC
rnacentral:rRNA from 1 species